GUCUACGGCCAUACCACCCUGAACGCGCCCGAUCUCGUCUGAUCUCGGAAGCUAAGCAGGGUCGGGCCUGGUUAGUACUUGGAUGGGAAGAUU
rnacentral:rRNA from 1 species